rnacentral:rRNA from 1 species
GCUGAACGCUAGCUACAGGCUUAACACAUGCAAGUCGAGGAACCGGCGCACGGGUGAGUAACACGUAUCCAACCUGCACUUUACUCGGCGAUAGCCUUUCGAAAGACAGAAUAAUACCCGAUACAAAGGAUGGGGAUGCGUUCCAUUAGGUUGUUGGUGAGGUAACGGCCCACCAAGCCUGCGAUCGAGAGGGGUUCUGAGAGGAAGGUCCCCCAGAUUGGAGCUGAGACACGGUCCAAACUCCGAGGGGAGGCAGCAGUGAGGAAUAUUGGUCAAUGGGCGUUAGCCUGAACCAGCCGAGUAGCGUGAAGGAUGGAGGCUUAUGGGGCGUAAACGUGUUUUAUAUAAGAAGAUGUAUUAUAUGAAUAAGGAGCGGCUAACUCAGUGCCAGCAGCCGCGGUAAUAC